GCCGCCGCGGAUACGGUGGUGGCGAUCAUGGCCGAAGGAAAGCAGCACGCCCUGUGUGUCGGAGUCAUGAAGAUGUCCGCGGAAGAAAUCGAGAAGGUCAACAAGGGAAUCGGGAUUGAGAACAUCCACUAUUUAAAUGACGGGCUGUGGCACAUGAAGACCUACAAGUGAGCCUCGGGAGAAGUGCGCCUGCGCUCCACGUGGACCUCGUGCGGGCGUUGUGUUUGUGUCUGUGCGGUGGCCCGAAGACAGCACCUCGGGUUAGCAGUUCCACAGACGCUAAAGAAGAGGGCGGGAGUAAAGCUUUGGAACGAAUCCUUGUGUCUGUGUCUGUGUCACGGUGUGUGUGCCUGUGUGAGUGUGUAUGCCUGUGGGUUUCUGUGUGUGUGUUUACGGAGGGGUGACCAGUUGAGAUGGACUGUCUUGUCUAAACAGCUAUCCUUUCAAGCAGGUAAAGUAUCGUAGAAAAACAUUUCAACGUCAGGAGCGUGCACUCAGUUAAACAGACCUGAGUUGUGAGUGAAACGUUGAGAAGAAAAUGAGUGGAGAGAGCCCCAAACGACUCUCUACGACCGUUUAAGGGAUGAGUGCUAGAAACCAAACCAGUAAAGAGUGUACAGCAGGCAUGACCGGUUGUCCACCCAACAAACACAGCCUGCUCCCGACUUGCCUGCAGAAUUCUGUCCGCCCCUUUGCUUCAUGACUGGAAAGUGCUGCUUGGUCCAGGCCUCUCAAUGUGGUCUCUUUCUGAUUCCUUUACAGCGGGGCAGGGGCCUAAGGCCAAGCAGGAUCUUCUCUAUUUAGGAACCCAUGGAAAAUGAGAAACCCAUGGUUUUGAGUCAUUUUUAGAUGGAUGUGUGACUUGUGUUACCAGGGGCUGCUAAUAGAAAGAUGCUUGGGGAGCAAGUCUCCCUACUUUAUUAUUAUUAUUAUUAUUAUUAUUAUUAUUGUCUUUUUAGGGCUACCCCUAGCCUGGGAACCUCCAUAUGCCAUGGGUUUGGCCCUAAAAAGACAAAAAAAAAAUGGAAGGAGUUCCUGAUGUGCUGCAGCAGAAGUGACUCUGACUGGUAUCCAUGAGGAUGCAGGUUUGAUCCCCGGCCUCGAUCACUGGGUUGGGGAUCUGGCAUUGCCGAGAGCUGUGCAGUAGGUCGCAGAUGUGGCUCAGAUCCUGUGUUGCUGUGGAUGUGAUGUAGACUGGCAUCUGCAGCUCCAGUUGGAUCCCUAGCCCGGGACCUUCCAUAUACCGAGGGUGUGGCUCUAAAAAAGAAAAGAAAAGAAAAAA
rnacentral:lncRNA from 1 species